GCAUAGCACAGUUGGUAGAGCUUGAGUCUCUUAAUUUCAGGGUCAUGGGUUCAAGCCCCAUGUGGGGCA